AAAUCAAACCACUUGCUCUAACGAAUCAAAUGCAAGAUCACAAGAUAAAAUUAUACUAAUUUUCACAACCUAAAAGCCAAGGUAGUGUUUGGUUCAGGUAUAAGGAAGAACUAGUUAUUACAGGAAUAGAUACAAGUAUGGGGAUAAAAAAAAUAGCGUUUGGAUGAAAAUUGGGUUGUUUUCGGGGAUAAGAAAAAUAGCGUUUGGAUAAAUAAUAUGAAAUAAGAAAAGUAGUGGACAGUUAUGUAUAGAAAAUAGAGGUGCUGGUGGGAAUAGUUAUACCAGGUUAUUUCAGAUACCCGAGUAUUAUUAUUUUCGGGUAAAAAAUUUACGUUUGAGUUCGAGAAUAGAGAGUAAUUCUUUUGGAAUGUUU
rnacentral:lncRNA from 1 species